CGGUACAUCGGUGACAGGUGGUGCAUGGUUGUCGUCAGCUCGUGUCGUGAGAUGUUGGGUUAAGUCCCGCAACGAGCGCAACCCCUAUUGUUAGUUGCCAUCAUUCAGUUGGGCACUCUAGCGAGACUGCAGGUAAUAAACCGGAGGAAGGUGGGGAUGACGUCAAAUCAUCAUGCCCCUUAUGACCUGGGCUACACACGUGCUACAAUGGUUGGUACAACGAGUUGCGAGUCGGUGACGGCGAGCUAAUCUCUUAAAGCCAAUCUCAGUUCGGAUUGUAGGCUGCAACUCGCCUACAUGAAGUCGGAAUCGCUAGUAAUCGCGGAUCAGCACGCCGCGGUGAAUACGUUCCCGGGCCUU
rnacentral:rRNA from 1 species